AGCUCCAAUAGCGUAUCUUAAAGUUGUUGCAGUUAAAAAGCUCGUAGUUGGAUUUUGGGAAUGCUUGAGCGGAUGGUCCAUCGCAACGAUGUGUACCUUCGGUCCAUUCCUUUACUUUGCACUGCAGGCCGUCGGCAUUGAUUUGGCGGCGGUUUUAUUGCGUGUGAUCAUUUACUUUGAAAAAAUUAGAGUGUUCAAAGCAGCCGAGUUACGGGCGUUGAAUAGUUCAGCAUGGGAUAAUGGAAUAGGACUUUCGUCUUAUUGCGUUGGUUUUCGAGACGAAGGUAAUGAUUAACAGGGACAGUUGGGGAUAUCAGUAUUUAAUUGUCAGAGGUGAAAUUCUUGGAUUUAUGAAAGACUAACUACUGCGAAAGCAUUUAUCAAGGAUGUUUUCAUUAAU
rnacentral:rRNA from 1 species